rnacentral:lncRNA from 1 species
UACGGCAGAGUGGACCCACAUGCACAGUGCCGGGACGCGAGGGGGAGGAAGAGGGAGGCUGAGAUGGAGUCUUCAAGAAGAAAGAGAAAGAAAAGCACACAGAGUCGCCCUGGAGAAUGACAGUGACAGGCCGUUGAUGCUGGCGCCUCUUCGAUGCAGCCAACGGGGCCCAGCCUCGGCUCCUUCUCCACCAAUCACCGAGCCUCCAGCUGACCUGCAAACACACACCCCCAGCACACCUCUGCACACACAAACACACAAAUGCAGAAACGCACAAACACACAAAUGCACAAGCAAACGCAGAAACACAAACACACAAACACACAAACGCACAAAUGCAGAAACACACAAACACGGACUGGGCCAUAACACCAGACGCAUCAUGGUUAUUAACAUUUUGGUGAAUUCUUUAUUUCUUUUGCCUACAUUUACCAAUGAUCCAGCCUUUGUAGUUUAAAAAUGACUGAACUGUUUUAGAAUUGAAUGGAAAACCUUUAUCUGUACUGUGAUUGAGAAAUUGAUAUGUUGCAACAGCACAAAAAAGACAGAUAAUACAGAAGAUAAUAAAUACACAAUUGUUGAAAGAAAGAGAGAAACA